UACGGAGGGUGCAAGCGUUGUCCGGAUUUAUUGGGCUUAAAGGGCGCGUAGGCGGUCUUUUAAGUCAGUGGUGAAAGCCUCCAGCUUAACUGGAGAACUGCCAUUGAUACUGGAAGACUUGAGUACAGACGAGGUAGGCGGAAUUGACAGUGUAGCGGUGAAAUGCAUAGAUAUUGUCAAGAACACCGAUUGCGAAGGCAGCUUACUAGACUGUAACUGACGCUGAGGCACGAAAGUGUGGGGAUCAAACAGG
rnacentral:rRNA from 1 species